UACGGGGGGGCAAGCGUUGUUCGGAAUUACUGGGCGUAAAGGGCUCGUAGGCGGCCAACUAAGUCAAACGUGAAAUCCCUCGGCUUAACCGGGGAACUGCGCUUGAUACUGGAUGGCUUGAGAUUGGGAGAGGGAUGCGGAAUUCCAGGUGUAGCGGUGAAAUGCGUAGAUAUCUGGAGGAACGACCGGUGGCGAAGGCGGUUCUCUGGGCCUGACCUGACGCUGAGGAGCGAAAGCGUGGGGAGCGAACAGGAUUAGAUACCCGGA
rnacentral:rRNA from 1 species